GAUUUCUGACUUGGCGCACCUGGCCCGCCACGGUUACGUGUGUGAGUGCCGGGAUGCGCCUGUCACUUUUCUAGUAAACCAUUGUGCUCUUCAUUGAGUGUGAUGGGUAGCUAGAUAUUUUACUUUGAAAAAAUUAGAGUGUUUCAAGCAGGCGUUUUGCUAUGAAUACAUUAGCAUGGAAUAAUGAGUUAGGACUUCGGUUCUAUUUUGUUGGUUUCUAGGACUGAAGUAAUGAUUGAUAGGGAUAGUUGGGGGUGCUAGUAUUCAGUGGCCAGAGGUGAAAUUCUUGGAUUCACUGAAGACUAACUUAUGCGAAAGCAUU
rnacentral:rRNA from 1 species